rnacentral:rRNA from 1 species
CCCUUAGAUGUUCUGGGCCGCACGCGCGCUACACUGAUGCAUUCAACGAGUCUAAAACCUGCUCUGAUAGGGGUGGGUAAUCUUUUGAAUGUGCAUCGCGAUUGGGAUAGAUGAUUGCAAUUUUUCAUCUUCAACGAGGAAUGCCUAGUAAACGCAAGUCAUCAGCUUGCAUUGAUUACGUCCCUGCCCUUUGUACACACCGCCCGUCGCUCCUACCGAUUGAAUGAUCCGAUGAAUAUCAUGGAUUGAGGAUGCAAGCAGGUUCGCCUGUCUUCAUCUUCGAGAAGUGAAGUAAAUCUUAUCAUUUAGAGGAAGGAGAAGUCGUAACA